CGCUCACGCUCCGUCUCUGUCUCUCCCACACACACACACACACACACACACAUAUGCGCGCACACGCACACGCACCCGCCGUGCGGCGCUGCCCCCCGGGCCCCAGCUCCUGCUCCCGAGCCCGGCAACGCCGGCGCGCACAGCCCAGCCCAGCCCAGCCCAGCCCAGCGCACCGCCAUCCCUCCUGACAAAGCAGCGCUCCUCGCGGCAUGAUCUCAUCCCCACCGGCCCUCGGCCGGCCCCAGCUUGGCCUCCUGACAAGAGAGACAGACACGGAGAUGGGGCGGGAGGGGGGCGGGAGGGGGGAGAGGGGAGGCGCACACAGACCGGCACCCAGCCCCCCUGACUCACAUACACACGCGCACACACAGGCAUGUGCCCCCACAGACCGCCCCCCCCUCCCCGCGUUCACCACCACACGUAGGCACACACACACAGACACGCUCACCACCCCACACAGGCACACAGACACAUAUCCCCGACACACACACACACACACACACACACACACGCUCGCUACCACAGACACAUACAUACACAGACAUGCACAUACACACACACAUCACAUAGGGAGAAAGUCUGAGGGGCACCAGGGAAGGGAGGCAGAGACAGAUACAGGACAGCAGAGACCCUCAGAAAGAAAGGGGAGGGAGGGACUAGGAGGGUGAAAACCGCGCGAGCAGGUCAGACACAAUGGGAGCUUGGACAGAGUCAGGGAGGAGGGCCAGAGGUAGCGUGGGCUGGCUGUCGGAGCUCUAUGGACAGAGCAUGUUCUAGAACUGCGGCAGCCCGGCUGGAAGAGGCCUGGGCGCGCCCGGCUGUGGCCAGUGUGGCCACCGCACCCACACCUGAGGCCCCAGAGACCCUCAGCGCUGCACCCAGAGGUGGGAUUACAACAGGUCACACGCAGCCCCCGGAACCUCAGGGAAAUGGAGCAGUGAAAGCCUUGGAGAGGUAGGGAGCCAUGUCAGGGGGAAAAAGGCAGACAGGAGCAGAGAAGGAGGACUGGAAAGUAAUAUUUAUUUGGCACAGGGGUGCCAGGUGUCGGCGGGGCCCUCGCUUAAUCCUCAUGGGCAUCCUGACAGACAAGGCCACAGCUCUGGGAGGUGGGCAACACGGUGAAGACGGGGGCCGGUGUCGGAGCCGCCCCUGGAACUCGGGGUCACUGCUCCGCUCCCCAUGGCUUCCGUCCCUCCCAUGGUCCUGCCCCUGGCCGACCCUGCAUUCUACCACAGCUUGAAGCCUUCGCCCUCACACUGGUGGCCUGCCUUCCCAGAGGAAGGGCCAAGCAGGGGCAUGGCUGGGAACCCGAGCCCUGAGGGCCACAUUUCUCGAGGAGGUGGGGGUGAGCUGUGAGAGUGGUUAGUCACGGCUGUCGGUGCCGACAGGGGUUUGCCUCCCAAGAAGGGAAUUCGAGUGGUAGCAAAGCUACAGGGACUGCCGGGCCUCCGUGUUCUCAGUUGCAGAAUGGGUAUAUGCUGAGGCCUCGCCUCAGGGGCCUACGGUAUAUCAUACGACUUAGCAGACACAGGGCCUGGGAAAAGGCUCAAGACACUGUGAAGAGCUGUGCACAGCCGGGAGUGCAAACAGAGGGCAGAACAAAGCCCUGGUUUCAGGAGAAGCGAGGCUGGAAGAUACCACUUAGCAAGGGCAGGGCCACGCUAGAGAGACUUGAACAAAGGAAAGGCCUCUCCCAGAUGGAGUAGCCUCCCAGAUCCUGCCCAGGAGCACAGGGGCCUCCAAAGUCUAGGUCCAGAGUCAGCCGUGGCGGAGUGGGCAGAGACUGGGCCUGGAGUCAGGAGGCCACGGGUUGAAGUCCCAGCUCUAUCACCGACGAGCUGUGGGACAACAGGCAACGGGUCAGGAAAACCAGAGCCAACCACCUGAUUUCAUAAAUGAGGUUUUAUUGGAACUAGCCAUACCCACUUGUUUACAUACUGUCUACACUUGCUUUUGUAUAGCCCGCAAGGCCGGAGCUCCUUACUGUCCGGCUCUUCACGGAAGUCUGCUGACCUCUGCUCUAAACUGUAAGUUUCCCGAGGUGGGACCAUGUCUGUCGCGUUCCUCGUCGGAACCCCUACCUGGCCAGGUGCCCGCACAGAGCAGGAGCUUCACAGAGAUACGGAUAUAAAUGUUUCUUGGAUAAGGAGCAAUUUUUACCUUGUCAAAAUUGUAUUGACUUGAGUUAUUAUUAAAACUGCAGAGUCCAUCAGGAAUAGACGUCACUUAUGAGAUUCCAAGACCAUUUUCUGGCAAGCAGUUCAAUACGACAGCGAUAUCCCAGCACAGGCUGGCACGUCAAGGAUCUUAGAGUAGCGACUGGCUAACCAUAAUUUCACACACCCUGUAAAAGACCUAUCGUCCGCGUGCACGGUCUGCAAACAUACGUGGAGAGGAGCACGAACCCGCAUCCGAGAGAGGAUAGGUCGAGCAGACUUACGAAAAUACAUCGUGAGAAGUCUUUUAAACGUUUUCGUUAAGGCUGUUUCUAUAUAUACUCCAAAGAACUGAUUGACGAAUUCAGAGAAAACGUCUGUUUUAUUGUCAUACAAAGGAAAUAAUGGAUUUUUUUUUUCUUUUCCAAUGAAUCGCUCCAACAUAAAAAAGGUUAACAACAUCUAGACGCUGUGUCUGUCGAUGCACACGUGUUUCUAGAACUUACGACGACCCCUGCAGGGCACAGAUGUUCUGAAUGAAUACGGUGGAGUGUCAGGGUCAAGAAUGCUGACUCGAGUAUAGGUGUAGGCCUCAGCCCCAGCUCUGCCACUUCCCAGCUGUGUGACCUGAGGAACCUCUCCAGCUUCUCUGAGCCUCAGUUUCCUGCUCUGUAUAAUGGGGAUGAUCCCAGUGCUUAUGCCAAGGGGUCACCAUGGUGAUGAAAUGAGAUGGUGCAUGUCUCCCUUUAGCCUGUUGGGGUGUGGUGUGCCUUGGGACCCUCGCGGGCCCCGACGCACCCCCACAGGUAAGCAUACUGCCUGAGAGGAGGGGCGGAGCCUCAGCCACGGGCUGCCCAGCCUGGUGGACAAGCUGCUGGUCCCUGGAGGCUCACGCCACAUCCGGACGAACCAAGGCGCCCGCUGACAGGGGUGGCAUGCAGCCCUGAGUUAGAAUCUGUUUAUACACCCACCGCCCAGUGACGUCCGUGGAACCCCCAGCGGUCACCUACCCGCAGACUUCGGAGUGAACUUGUCUCGAUUCGCAGCGCACACUGCCAGCAGUCUGUAACCGAGGUCCAGGUCGAACCCUUGCUGUGCUGCCACCCGACUGACCACCUGCGAGCAAGAGGGAGAGGAAGGGCAGAGUGAGUCCCUGCUGGCGCCCGGCUUCCGAGCCCAGAGGGGCACGUGUGUCCGUUUAACAGGUGAGGCAGGUGAGGUGCGCAGGCUGAGGCAGGUCCCCAAGAUCAGGCAGAGCUGGGACUCAGAUUGUGCCUUGCUCACUCAGCAAGCACUGAUGAGCACCUCCUCCGUGCCAGGCCCAGGGAUCCUGGCCCCUGCCCUCAGGGGUUUCCGGUCGGCUGGUGGGCCUGACCCCAAAGCCCAGGCCCUACAGCUUUCAAGGACUCGAUUCGGCCACAUUCCAGAAGGCGGCUGGGGGUACUGUACCACCGUGUUUUGGGUGGCUGCAGGCCGGGCCUCUCUUCCCCCACAGCAGUUCCCCAAACUCCCUUCUGAGUCCAGGCCCUCGGGAAGUCUCUUGGCACCUCUUCCCAUCCCCUCCCUGAGCGCCUGCACCCCCCCAUCGUGGAUGCUCACUGCCCUCACUACUCUAGGCGUGGCCCUCACCCAGCAGCCCACCCGUUCCCAGGUGUCCUGCCAUUGCCAGACCGGCUCCCUCCUGCCCGCCUUCCUCAUUAACAGCAGCAAAAUUAGGUUUACUUAUUAAGAAGGAAGGACCUUGGAAGAUGGGAGUCGGUGCAGGCUAAGCAGCUGGGGCGGUUAUGGCUGAGCGGGAAAGGAGUGCUCCCAGAUGUGGGAGCUCGUUCUUUUGAGAAAGAGAAGACUCCGUCAGCGACAGCAAGCCGUUAGAGACCACCUGCCCUGGAGGCAGGUGCUCAGAGGGCCUCCGGCUGCCAUGGGUUUUGGCCCAGCCUCUGUAACCACUGGGAUAGCUCUUCAUGAUCUGCUUUAUAUUUUAGGGUUCGUUACAAGGGGUCUAGGGCUAAAAAGGUUGGGAAAACAGCUAAUCUAGGCCAACCCUCUCAUUUAAAAACUAUGGACACUUCUAUGGAAACUUCUGUUCCCCCGGGGCCUCUUUUCCACAGGCUCUAUUUGCCCCUGACUGGGGUUCUUGCCGCACCUCCUGUCCCUACACACACCCCAUGAUCCAGAGGCUCUGGGCCACCUCCGGGCAGGGCAUCCUCACUGUUAGGCUCACCGUCCACUCAGCAAAACCAAGGCCACUUAUUCUCUGUGGCUUGUUGAAGAUUUCAGGUCUGGAGACAGGCCCUCUCUACAGUGGGUCGGGAAGGGUCACUUCAGCUUAGAUGUGGACUAUGGUGCCCUUUCCUUUGGUGGAAGCUUGGAGUGGAUGUGAGUGAGCAGUUUGUUUGGACGAGUGCAUCAGUGAGGCUGCUGUUUGUGGGAAAUGUUGACAAGGGCAAAUAGUGUAAUGAGAAUAUGGUCUCCCCGGUAAGAGGAGCCAAGUAAAAGCUUUGUACGCAGCAAAGUGCCAAAUUCUGACGAUAGCUCCAGGAGGCGGUAUUCUUAUCUCUGUUUCACAGAUGAGGAAACUGAGUGUGAAGAAUAACCAAAGGUUUCAAAUCUUGUCCACGACAGAGCCAGGAUGCAAUCCCAGGCAGUCAGCCUGUGGAGCCUGGGCUCUUUCCACGAGAGGCCCUCUUUUUCAGCCCCCAAAGGGUUAAGGCCGUAACUGCAGGGAGAAUCCUCAGGCCCUGUGUUGAGGGCAGGAAGGCAAAGGUCCCUCUGUUUGGCCAAUACUGGCUAAUCCUGUUGCUCUGGUUUAAACAACAACAACAAAAAACCAACCAAAAAACCAAAAAACAAACUAGCUAAAUUGAGCAAGAGAGGCCUGGUGCUGGUAUAAGGGCUGUCCUGCAGGCCUGGGAAGGUCAGCUUGUCGCCAAAUCCCCUGAGUCCCAGCGUUCAGAAGGGUCACUGGCAACAGCCUCCUUUCACCAAGGCCCAGAGAGGGUAGGGCCUUGCUGAAGGGCAGCACAGCACAGGCGUGGCUAAGCUGGACCCUGAGGCCCUAGAGUGCCUUAUGUGCACCCCCUGGCUUCCUCUGGCCCAGCCUGCGGACCCCCAGGAAAGUCCUGUG